rnacentral:tRNA from 1 species
GCCUGGGUGGCUCAGUCGGUUGAGUGUCUGACUUUGGCUCAGGUCAUGAUGUCAUGAUGGGUUCGAGCCCCGUGUCAAGCU